GCCGACUUAGCACAGUGGUAGUGCAAUGCCCUCGUAACGCAUAGGUCGCUGGUUCAAAUCCGGCAGUCGGCGCCA
rnacentral:tRNA from 1 species